CCUACGGGAGGCAGCAGUAGGGAAUCUUGGACAAUGGGCGCAAGCCUGAUCCAGCCAUGCCGCGUGUGUGAUGAAGGCCCUAGGGUUGUAAAGCACUUUCGCCAGGGAAGAUAAUGACGGUACCUGGAUAAGAAGCCCCGGCUAACUUCGUGCCAGCAGCCGCGGUAAUACGAAGGGGGCUAGCGUUGUUCGGAAUUACUGGGCGUAAAGCGCACGUAGGCGGCAUUCCAAGUUGGAGGUGUAAUCCCCGGGCUUAACCUGGGAACUGCCUCCAAAACUGGGAAGCUCGAGUCCGAGAGAGGUGAGUGGAAUUUCCAGUGUAGAGGUGAAAUUCGUAGAUAUUGGAAAGAACACCAGUGGCGAAGGCGGCUCACUGGCUCGGUACUGACGCUGAGGAGCGACAGCGUGGGGAGCAAACAGGAUUAGAUACCCUGGUAGUCCACGCCGUAAACUAUGGGUGCUAGUUGCCGGGCAGCUUGCUGUUCGGUGACGCAGCUAACGCAUUAAGCACCCCGCCUGGGGAGUACGGUCGCAAGAUUAAAACUCAAAGGAAUUGACGG
rnacentral:rRNA from 1 species